rnacentral:lncRNA from 1 species
GAUUUUAUUUUUAAGCAGUCUCUACGCUUAUCGUGGGGCUCGAACUCACAACCCUGAGAUCCAAGAGUUGAAUGCUCUACCUACUAAGCCAACCAGGGGUCUUGCCAAAAUUUUAUAUUGAAAUAAAGUUAAGGCUUAAAGCUUUAGGCUUUUUCACAGAAGCCUAAAAAUAAAAACGUAUUGAAAGAUAACUUGAAAUUGAUGCUAGGACAGCUUUUAGGUCUUCCUUAGCUUAUCCCUUCCCUAUUUAAGUCAUUUAUCUAAACUCAUUUUAGGGUCAGUCUGGAUUGAUACAUUUAACUCAAAAUUUAAAAAGAAAUUAGUCUAUUCUGCAAUUUCAUACUGUUUGCACUUUGUGAGAGAAGGAAAAAAUUUUUUCAACAAAGGAGAUCUUCUUAGAGCUUAAAACUCGUCAGGGUGUAGUAUCUUAGGAGUACAAUAAAUAAUGACUAAAAGUGAUUGUAAAGUUUUACAAUCAGUUAUAAGAUUAGCAUUUCAAAUCCCUUAUGUAUAUGGGCAUCAAAUUUUUUUUAAGUGGGAAUUCAGUAUUAAGUAGACCUUAUAAAAAUGCUUAUAAAAAUGAUUUUUAUGUAGCCAGGCUAUCCAGAUUUGUUUGGGGGAAUAUUAAAAAAAAAAAAAAAAAAGGAAGAAAGAAGAAAAAAACAAAACUAUUAUUGGAGGAUGUGACUUAAUCACAAAUGGCUGUCUGCCUUCGUGCCUUAAUUCGGGGGCUUGUGUUUAAAAGUACUUGUUUUCUUUUUCUGUGGCAUGUAAGUAUGUGUAGUGUACAUAUCCUCACUGACAAUCAUGGUCCUCUUGUUCCACCUCUGUAGGGUAACAUGUCUUUGAAGACCACUCCAGUGUUGACUCAUUCACUGGUAGACCAAUCUAUACGCUCUGCAUAUGUGGUUUAAAUUUGAGCAGCUGUAUUUGUAUGAUAUAGUAACAUUAAUUUUUACUGAUAUAAAAAUAACUGAAUCAGAGGAGCUAUCUUAGUGUAUUAGAAAGAAAACUGGGCUCAACAUUAGAGAACUAGUUUGUGUUCUUCUGCUUUACAAAAAGUAAUCUUAAAGUCUUCUGGGCCAUUUUAUGAAGAAAUUCUAUGUUAGUCUCAAAAUGAACGUGGCUCUUCUAACUGUGAACUUUGGGAACUUAAUCUGACUGCAAUUCUUGAAGUCUCUAGAUUUUUCAGAGUUUAAGACUAUCCAACUAGAUUUGGAGGGGUGUGUGGAUUUGGGGACCUGGAUGACCAUGAUUUACACAAUUAAAUAUGUCUAUAUCACUAAUAAUUAUGAAACAAUUAGGGGACAGCUCAUGUUAUCUUAAAAAUUACUAAAGAAUAGAAAUAAGAGACUUCACAUUGAUAGUACUUUUGGUUUUAUGUACUUUCCAUGGUAUUUAUGUAUAUAAUAGAAGCCUGUCUCACCAGAUUUUGACAUUUCAGGUUAGUACUCCAGUAGUUAAGCAAGGACCGGUUUCACAAUCGGCCACACAGCAGCCUGUAACUGCUGACAAACAGCAAGGUCAUGAACCUGUCUCUCCUCGAAGUCUUCAGCGCUCAAAGUAAGUUCAUGUGUGUUGAAACAUUUUUUUCAUUAAUGUUGCAUGCUGCAUUGUUUGAAUAUUAUAAAAAUAUAUGUAUAAUAGAACUUGAUCUUGUAAGAAUCCAUGGUUAGCCUAAGUUUUAUGUAUUAUAAGAUUUACAAAGGCAAAUCUUACUCCAAGUAGGUUGUUGUCUCUAGUAAUGAAGCCAGCUUAUUUUUUGAAGAAAGUCAUUCUUCAGAUUUUACUUAAUAGAAUAUGAUAGGAGUAACAAUAUGUCAUACUUGUACAAACGAGGGCACCUGAUUUUAUAAUACUUGUUGGAAAUGACAUCAUUUUUUAACCUCCUCAUAGCAGUUUUAGAUAUGAGUGUAUUGCUGAAUCCAAAAAUGGGAAAUACUAUUUCUCAACUGGUAUGUGUCAGGUUUUCCUAAGAGCUUCAAUUUUGACCCCUGUGUGGAGUGCUUGUCAGAUAGGGCUGUAUUGUGUUACAUGUUUCUUUGUUAAUUAACAAAUACAACUUUAAAUGAUUUUCCUUUGAUUGAU